CAGGACGAACGCUGGCGGCGUGCCUAAUACAUGCAAGUCGAACGGUCUUUCUAUGGAAGCUUGCUUCCACUGAGAAGAUAGUGGCGAACGGGUGAGUAACACGUGGGUAACCUGCCCAUAAGAGGGGGGAUAACAUCCGGAAACGGGUGCUAAUACCGCAUAGUUUUCUUGAUCGCAUGAUCGGGAAAGGAAAGACGGCCUUUGUGCUGUCGCUUAUGGAUGGACCCGCGGCGUAUUAGUUAGUUGGUGAGGUAACGGCUCACCAAGACGAUGAUACGUAGCCGACCUGAGAGGGUGAUCGGCCACAUUGGGACUGAGACACGGCCCAAACUCCUACGGGAGGCAGCAGUAGGGAAUCUUCCGCAAUGGACGAAAGUCUGACGGAGCAACGCCGCGUGAGUGAAGAAGGUUUUCGGAUCGUAAAACCCUGUUGUCAGAGAAGAACAAGUUGGAGGGUAACUGCUCCAGCCUUGACGGUAUCUGACCAGAAAGCCACGGCUAACUACGUGCCAGCAGCCGC
rnacentral:rRNA from 1 species